rnacentral:rRNA from 1 species
GCGGCGCGCUUAAUGCAUGCAAGUCGAGCGAUGAGACUCCUACGGGAGCACAUCAGCGGCAGACGGGUGAGUAACACGUAGAUGACGUACCCUCAAGACGGGGAUAACGGAUGGAAACAUGCGCUAAUACCGGAUGACCUUACGAUGUCAGAAUGGUAAGGAAAGCUACGGCGCUUGAGGAGCGGUCUGCGGCCCAUCAGCUAGUUGGUAGGGUAAAGGCCUACCAAGGCGAAGACGGGUAGGGGGUGUGAGAGCACGGCCCCCCACAAUGGGACUGAGACACGGCCCAUACUCCUACGGGAGGCAGCAGCAGGGAAUAUUGCACAAUGGACGGAAGUCUGAUGCAGCGACGCCGCGUGAGUGAAGAAGGCCUUCGGGUUGUAAAACUCUUUUGAGGGGGAAGAGCGAGGACGGUACCCCUGGAAUAAGCGUCGGCUAACUACGUGCCAGCAGCCGCGGUAAGACGUAGGACGCGAGCGUUAUCCGGAUUUACUGGGCGUAAAGCGUCUGUAGGCGGAUGUGUAAGUUGGGCGUGAAAGCUCCGGGCUUAACCCGGAGAGGCCGUUCAAUACUGCAUAACUUGAGGGUGUCAGAGGGGAGCGGAAUUCCCGGUGUAGCGGUAAAAUGCGCAGAGAUCGGGAGGAACACCAGUGGCGGAGGCGGUUCCCUGGGGCACACCUGACGCUGAGAGACGAAAGCUAGGGGAGCGAACAGGAUUAGAGACCCUGGUAGUCCUAGCCCUAAACGAUGAAUGCUAGGUGUGGGAUCGAAUGGUUCCGUGCCGGAGCGAACGCGAUAAGCAU